rnacentral:snRNA from 1 species
UGAUGUGAGGGCGAUCUGGCUGCAAAUCUGUCAGCCCAUUGAUUGCCAGGGCUGAGUUAGCUGAUCGGGCUGGCUAGGCCGGUGUCCCCUUCCUCCCUCACAGCUUCAUUUGCAUCCCACCUGAAGCUGCAGGGAUCUGUUGAAGAGGAAGACCUUCCCUCAAUGGAGGAGGGCCAAUCUUCAGUAAGGGGUAUAUGAAUACUUGUGCUCCCAUGCUAGAACCUUGAAACACCAAUAAAUAUAUAAAUAUGAAAUAGAUAUUAAAAUUUACAAAAAGAAAAAGCAUGAGUAAAAUAAACCAUGCAACCAAAAGACAUAUAAGUAUUACAUUUAGCAGGUUCUUU